AGCACUCAUUAUCCUGGAGACCACAGCUCUUCUGUGAAGACUGAUGAAGCGAUGGAGAACAUUUAUGAAAAUGACGAACACAAAAACUGCAUCAAGUCCAAUGAGAGAGAUGCAGGUGGAAAUAGAUGUUUUGUGCUGAGCACAGUGAGUCUUGGACUCAUGUGUGUUUUAUUGGUGAUCGGCAUCAUUGUGCAACGUCACAAACUCACGGCAGAGCGAGACCUGUUGAAGAUGAGUUAUAUGGACAUAGUAAAAGAGUACAACCAAACUAUAAGCAGGUUGCAGGUGAAUUACAGUGAUCAAACUAUUGCAAAAGAUCGAUUGCAGAGCAGCUUCAACUCUUUAAAUCAGACGAAUCUGGAGUUGGAGACCAGCAUCAACAGUCUAACUGCUGAGAAAAACCAGUUACAGAGAAACUACGACUCUUUGAAUCAGAAGAAACUGGAGUUGGAGACCAGCAUUAACAGUCUAACUGCUGAGAAAAACCAGUUACAGAGAAACUACGACUCUUUGAAUCAGAAGAAACUGGAGUUGGAGACCAGCAUCAACAGUCUAACUGCUGAGAAAAACCAGUUACAGAGAAACUACGACUCUUUGAAUCAGAAGAAACUGGAGUUGGAAAGCAAGAUCAACUCUUCGUGUGACGAACAUAAGAAAAAACAAGUUUGGUUCUUCAUAUCCAGUGAGGAGAAGAGCUGGUCUGACAGCAGACAGUACUGCAGGGAUCAUGGUGGAGAUCUCGUUAUUAUCAACACUGAAGAGAAACAGAGGAACAUCAGUUCAUUGGAGAAGGGGAGAGUGUGGAUUGGUUUGUCUGACAUCGAGAAAGAGGGCGACAUGAAAUGGGUGGAUAAUUCACCACUGACUAAAGGGUUUUGGAACACAAAUGAGCCAAAUGACAGUCUAGGGAAUGAGGACUGUGUUGAAGUGAAUACUUCAGAAUCCUCCCUGAACAACUGGAAUGAUCUCCCAUGCUCAGAGAAGAGAAAAUGGAUUUGUGAGAAUUAGGUUUGAUCCCCGGAGGCAACUGUGUUUGUGUUUAUGUUUGUGUCUUUUUGUUUAAGUUUUCAUUAAAUAAUACUUUGAUGGUUCAUCUGGUUCCUGCCUCCUCCUUUCCCCUUUUCGUUUUGGGUAAACUAUCCCUUUAAUCUUGUGGUAGUAACCUGAACAGCGUGCAGCUCUUCAUGAACUGUGAAAACUUUGCCUUGAUAAUCGCCUCGCUCAGAUACUAUAACCAUUAAAGUGGAAUGUGACACACAUGGCGAAGUGGUGUGUUAUGCCAAAGAAACAAUUUAAAUUGUUCAUGUUUACUGCCAAGUGCAUCUCAUUUAUUUAUAAAAACUAGCAGUUGUGCAUAGACAGAACAAUGGGCGGAGAUUUGCUUAAACCCUAUUCGGACGGGAUUAGUUUUAUAUGGGGAUGCUGUUUUUUGUUGGGAAAAUUAGAAGACACAAGGGCAUAAUUUUGUGGUUGGAGCAGAGGGAAUGGUGUAAAUUGUGUUGAGGAUUGUAUGUUGUUCAGACACUGCAUCCCCGUGUUUCACAACAUAUUUUCCGGAAGGACAAAUACAAUUUCAUCAUGUGAAGGGAUUGUCCACAUUGUCCACAGAGUGUUAUACAGGAUUACAGGCUUGCUAUGUCACCAGUUCUUUCUGUUUUUUUUUUUUUUAGACAGAUAUUCCAAUCAAUUUCUUCCAAUAAUCCCAGAUACAAUAUAUGAUCAUGUUUUCCCUUCAUAAAUAAUCAGCACAGCUAAAUACAUUUUCUGACGGUCAGUUACGCAUAACAGCAGUAUAUAAAUUCAGUAUACACACCCAUCUCUGCGAUUUAUGCAGACAUCUUUUAUCCUGUGCAAAUCGAUGGUAAACAUCACAGAUGUUCGCAGUAAUAAUUUCUUUACAAACCUAUGUUCGGAAAACUAUUUCCAUUAUGUGAUUUUGUCUAUAUACUGUAAGCUAAAUUCUACAGCAGAGCUAAUUUCAUUAUUUAUAAACUUCUUUAAUGAUAUAAAGUUUCUUUUUUACUUUUCUGUAGUUUCCCCAAAUCAAGAGUGGAUGUUAGGAUUUUUUUAAACUUGUUAGAGGAAAAUGUAAAAUUGUCAUAAUUGCCAUAAUACAGUGACAACAUCCUAUUUCUCAUAGGGUGAAUCCGGUAAUCUGGGUACCAGAUUACCCUAAUUCACCCUAUUAUUCUGAUAUUGUGUCUGUCUGUUAAUAAACUUAUUUUCUGAUUUUUUCAAAAUAAGUUCAAUAGUCAAUGUGCUUUUGUAAACUGUCACUAUUACCAAAGUUAUAAACUCAUAAAAAAUA